GGUGUGUGGCUGGUUUUAUUGCUCUUCUUGGUUUUUCUGCAGUGUGGCAUUUGGUUGGUGGUGUCUUUACUGAAAUCCCCCACGGAAGGAAGACCUGAGUGCAGUGUAGGAACCCUGAGAAGUGCUGAAGGGAACUGAACACGAAGAGUGCUGGGUGCAGAGAGCGUCUCUGCAGGAGCUGACUGCGUUUGUGGAUGUUCUCCAUCUCAGAAGCCGUUUUGUUUUUGCUUUUAAUAGAUUAAGGGCUAUUGGGAAGAGAAACUUGGAUAUUCAUUAGCCAAGCCAGUGAAGAACGUGGCAUUCUAAAUCCUUUCUGCAAUCCAUCGUUCAGACAAUCUGGUUAUUGACCUGGUUUGACCAUAGCUCUGUUACACCAUCAGAAAGAAACAACUUGAUCAUGGAGAGCUUUUCUCAUUGCUUUGUUCUUUCGGGAUGCAGUGGGGUUGGUGCUGUUGAAUCCCAUCUGCAUCUGUUUUCCAACCCAUGCAGAACCACUGGGUGCCAUCAACUCUUGGGCAAUGAUGGGUGCCAGUGACGCAGCCCUGCUCACCCCUGAUCUCUGGAUGUCAAAAUCUUGUUCUCAUCAUCUUGGUUCUUUGGGGAGGACUUCAGAUUUUAGGAUAAGUGUCUAUAGAGCAGAGCCAUACAGCUGCUAUGGGCGUCAUGAUUUCUUUGUGCUAAGCAACAUUGUUUUAGAGGUUCCAGUAAUUAAGAUGUAUUGUUUUAUGGUUUGCUGGGAAGAUUGAACUGGAACAGCAGCGUGGAAAUUCAUCUGAAAUGGCAUGGAAAUGUCGAGGAGUAGAAAGGAGGACUUAAUAAAUAGUCAAGCAGAUCCCAGUUGCUGGGAUACAGUGGGUUUAAACGUUCUGCUGCCUGGGAACUGGAACUCCUCAUGGGUUCUGACCCACACAGUGAUGUUCUGCCCCUUCCCUGGCAGUGUCAUGCUUCAAACCUGCCUCGCUGGGGGAUGCUGGUGAGAUUUCUGUUUGAAGAUUGACCAGAAGUUGUUCUGACUGCUGAAUUUACACGGUGCCACGUCCGAUGGCCGCCACGAAGACCUUGGGGAGCGGCUGCAUCCUUGGCGCGGUGCUGCCUUGGGUUUUCUGCCUCCGGUUGGGGGCAGCUUCCUUUCCUAAAGUGACCAUCCCACCAGAGCUGCAGUCAGCAGAGGCUCGCGUUGCAGUGAACGCCACGUCGUGCAGCGUCACCUGCGGCCUGGGCCUCCAAGUGGAGGAAAUGUGUGAGAUCACAGCAGCAGGGGAGAGGAAGAACUGCACCACGCGCCGCUCGCACUGCACCACCACGUGGGGCUGCGGUUUGCUGCACCUCACCGUCCCCGUGGGCAAACCCCUGGUGCUCAGCUGCCUGACCUCAGACGUCAUCGAUUUGGGCGUCAGAGGGUACAGCUGCACGUGGAAACUCGCCCCGGGUCUCAUCACCAUGAAUGAUGUUUUGUUUGCACCUUUCAGAAACCCGGGUUUCGCCGUUGCCUUUUCCCCAACCAAGGAAUCUGAUGCUGGGACGUACCGCUGCGACGUGCGCGUGUUGAAGACGUUCAGGGUCAUCAAGAGGAUCUACUUUGGGCUCAGGGUGAUCCGAAAUGACUUGGUGGACCUGGACUUUGGCAAAUCCUUGACUCGAGAGCAGAAGCUGGCAGUCAGGAACGAGGAAGGAAUCGAAGCCAACAGCACCCUUGUAGACGUGGAGGAGAAGCUGUACUUUUGGCAAAGAAAAUCCUUUCGUAGAUCCUUGAUAGGGUUUGGAACCGGGCUGGUAGGGGUCGUCAUGGUGAGCCUGGCUCUCCGCUGCUUGCAGGAGAGGUUGAGAAGCAGAGCUGCAGAGAAUCAGACUCAGUUCUAGUGCGAUUUCUUGCCUCUGUCUCACUUAUUGUCACAAGUAGAUCAACAUCAGUAUUGGUGCACUGUUUCACAAUGAGGUUUUGUGACACAGAUCCCUGAGGUCGGUAGCUGGAGCAAAAGAGGUGCAGAGAAGUGAAGAUGCUGCAGCUGGGUCCCUGCUGGGUCUCUGUGGUCCUUCCCAGCAGACCCCAAGGGAACCUCCUCUUUCCAAGCAGCAGCACUGACACAGAGCAGUGCACACCCACAUUUAGGACACCUCGAGGAGCCCACUGCGUGCCGGCUGCGUUCGUCCCACCCAGACCUCUCCUGUCUGUGGCUUUUUUGAUGGCAUCCCUUAAACCUCAAGCAGGAUGGAGGGAGUGCCUGGAAAUGUGGCAAUUUUCUUCAAUAACCAUUGGUUUUGUAGAACAGCUUUCUUAGCCCAGGAUUGCAGAGGGUUUUACAACAUAACAGUGGAUGUGGUUCGGUGGGAGCAACAACUGGGCUUGCAAAUGCAGCAGCAAUGCAGUGCUCAGCACUGGGGCUCAGCUCAGAUACCUGCAUACCUCCAGGAGAGGCUUUUAGCAGGUAAGGUGUGACAUGCAUUGCUUGUGGCUAUGAAAUGCAUGCGAGUGCACAGUUACCACCUGCAUAAUGCAUCCCCCUCCUUCCCCACACAAGGAAGGAUGCUUUGAAGAAAUCCAGUUUGCUCUCCCCUUUCUUUUUGCUUCCUUCCUCCCAGCACAGCUGCAUGAGAGCCGUAGAUAUUCUGCUUGUUCCCUCCCCUGCCAUUUCUCCCAGCUUUUUUUGGCAGUGACACCCUGCAGACAUUUGUUCACUUGUUGCCUGUCUCUUGUGAUAGCAGCGUGGAGCUUUGGAGCGUGUGAACAAAGCGGUGUCUUUUGCUGAAGCACGCUGAACACUGAUGGGUUUUUGGGUUCGUGUAUUAUCUCAGGUGAAAUAGAGAAAAACAAACCCACUGUUGCAACGCUAAUCCUAAGCAGGGGCGUGUUGGUUAACUCUGCAUUAGAAGACGUUGAGUCAGGCGUGCUUAGUCUGAUUCCAAGGUUUGAAUGGGCUUCACCAUGGCCACCAAUUUCCCCUUGGUGUCUGUUUGCCGUUAACGAUGGCACUUGAGAAAGCAGAAACGCACUGGGGGCGAUCCAUCUCUGUUGCUGGCUGCUCCCUGCUGCAUGCUUUAAUUAUGCUUCCCCCCACCUUACAAAGCCCCUCUGCUGCUGCAGUCCCUGAGCUCAUUAAGGGGCUGUGGGGAGGAGCGGGCUCACCUGCGGCCCUGCACAGUGUGGGGCAGAGGGGCCACAGCUUGACAUGGGCUGAACACAGCUGAGCUGGGCUCUGGGACCUCAUCCUGCCCCUAAGCCACACUAAGGGCUCAGUGUGUUGUUUGGCUGCCAGAUAAACUCAUCCCUCCACCCGUGGGCAGUGGGGGCUCCUUGGAAAAGGAGUCCAUCCCUCCCCCUCCAUCCUUACCCCUCCAUUCCUCCCCACACACUGCACCAUCCAAACUCAUUGGAGCUGGAAGCUUACAGGCCAGCUUCAAGAGCAGCUGGGGUUUUCCCAGCACUUUCCCAAACGUGACCCUUUUUGCUUCCAUCCCAAAGCACGUUCUUUUUGUGAGCUGAUGUGGAGUUCAGCUUGGUGGGAACAGAAGUGCUUAAGCACAACUGAACGUGAGCGAGUGCAGCAGGAAGGUCUGGGUGAUGUUUCCUGUGGCCACUGCUGCUCAGCCCCCAUCUCACUGCCCACUCUGACUCCAGCACAACCUCAGAGCUGUGCCACACACCGCUGCUCCAUGCCUUGGAGUCCAUCCUGCAGGUAGAGGGAAGCAAACAGGUUUUAUUCAAGGCCAGAAGGAAGGAGGGAGAUGGAUUAAUCCAACAGAGCGCAGAGCAGGUGAUUUCAUGCCGUGCUUCCUGCCACGGUGGAAAUUAUUUUCUGUAAUGGAAGUGAACCUUCACGAGCCUGCUGGCUCGUGGCUGGUCUCAGGGAUAUCCUUCCUGGAAGAACUCCAGUCAGGGUUUAAAUGCUGCGAUGGAUGAUGAAGGUUUUUUGGCAAGCUAUCCUAAAAAUCAAUUACCCUUUUUGCUAAUGAGCCACGUGAAAUUUCUUACUUGAGUUUUCUAGCAUUACUUGCUUGCCAUCAGAACACCAGCCAGGAAAAGCACAUUAAAUUAACAGAUCUAAGCAGAACCCCAACAGACACCUGCAAUUCCUCGCCCUGAGGGCAGCCCCUCCUCUUCCCAUCAGAUAUCGCUGUCUGUGGGGUAGAACCAGAGCUUACUGUGUCCUAAUUAACUUCUGCUGAGUUCUGCUGGGUGUUCUGUCUGUGGGUGCCAUUGGCAGUGCAGGGCUGGGGGGAUGCUGAGUGCUCCCAGUGCUUGUUGCCCUUCCAGAAGCAUUCCAGGCUCCAGCAGUUGUCUGAAGUCUCUAAAGAUCUUUAUUUAAGAACUGCGUGCUUCUGUAGCCAAUAAAUAACCAUAAUUACAGUAAAUACAGUAUGCUUACACUGCUCCCCAUUUGUUUUCCUUAAAAAAAUAGUUAACAAGCAAGUUGUUGAGAAGAAAGCUGCCUGGGUGCAGUGAGGCUGGAUGAAAAUAUUCCCAGCUGAUGGUUGGUGUGGUGGGGAACAGCUCUGCAGGUUUGGAGCAGGCAGGAUUCAGGACUCCAGGCUUUAUGGAUGGGAUGCCAUCCCGUUCUUUACCCCGUUAUGAAUGGGAUUCGUUACUCAGCUCCUUCCUUGGGUGAAGGAUGGGAACGUCUCCCAUCUGGGAUCAGUGUUGAAUCAUUCCUGCUGUAACUGAGCCCUUCCUCAUCCAAACCCACCUGGCUGAGUGCUGAGUUUGGUCCAGACCUCCUAAAAUCAGAAACAUAACUUUCCAUCUGUAACUUCAGUACGACCAGGUAGGCUAUUGCAUGUUAGAUGUGAAUAUAUCAGAGCUGUUCACCUGGGAGACCCAAAGCUUUUCACCCUCGUUGCUUAUCCCUUCCAGCAUCCUCGUGGCAUUGGUGGCACUGCUAAGAAGUAAGAAGGACCCUGUGAAAUUGGAUGACUUCCCUCGCUGAGCCAUAACAGCAUUGGAACAAAACCCGGGCGCUUAACUCGUCCCUGUCCUCUCCGCCUUGAAAUGAAGCAUCUCCAAGCCUUCUGCAUCAGGAGGAUCUCUCUCCAAACGGGUGGAUUUUCUCUUACCCCUCCCCAGACAACAAAGAAGCAAACAACAGAACAAGAAC